rnacentral:rRNA from 1 species
CCUACGGGUGGCUGCAGUGAGGAAUAUUGGACAAUGGGCGCGAGCCUGAACCAGCCAAGCAGCGUGAAGGAUGACUGCCCUACGGGUUGUAAACUCCUUUUAUAAAGGAAUAAAGUGCGGCACGUGUGCCUUUUUGUAUGUACUUUAUGAAUAAGGAUCGGCUAACUCCGUGCCAGCAGCCGCGGUAAUACGGAGGAUCCGAGCGUUAUCCGGAUUUAUUGGGUUUAAAGGGAGCGUAGAUGGGUGGUUAAGUCAGAUGUGAAAGUUUGGGGCUCAACCGUAAAAUUGCAAUUGAUACUGGCAGUCUUGAGUACAGUUGAGGUAGGCGGAAUUCGUGGUGUAGCGGUGAAAUGCUUAGAUAUCACGAAGAACACCGAUGGCGAAGGCAGCUUACUAAACUGCGACUGACAUUGAGGCGCGAAAGUGUGGGGAGCAAACAGGAUUAGAUACCCCUGUAGUC